rnacentral:misc_RNA from 1 species
GAUGAAGAACGUAGCGAAAUGCGAUAAGUAGUGUGAAUUGCAGAAUUCAGUGAAUCAUCGAAUCUUUGAACGCACAUUGCGCCCUUUGGUAUUCCAAAGGGCAUGCCUGUUCGAGCGUCAUUUGUACCCUCAAGCUUUGCUUGGUGUUGGGCGUCUUGUCUCUAGCUUUGCUGGAGACUCGCCUUAAAGUAAUUGGCAGCCGGCCUACUGGUUUCGGAGCGCAGCACAAGUCGCACUCUCUAUCAGCAAAGGUCUAGCAUCCAUUAAGCCUUUUUUUCAACUUUUGACCUGAUCAGGUAGGGAUACCCGCUGAACUUAAGCAUAUCAAUAAGCGGAGGA